rnacentral:rRNA from 1 species
CCAAUAGCGUAUAUUAAAGUUGUUGCAGUUAAAAAGCUCGUAGUUGAAUUUCGGGGUUCAUCCGUUGGUCGGGCUUUUUUGGUCUGUACUGGCGUGAUGGAUUCCUACCUUCUGAAUAACCAGCAUGUCAUUAACUUGGUGCGCUGGGGAAGCAGGACUGUUACCUUGAAAAAAUUAGAGUGCUUAAAGCAGGCUAUCGCCUGAAUACAUUAGCAUGGAAUAAUGAAAUAGGACGGCAUGGUUCUAUUUUGUUGGUUUCUAGGAUCACCGUAAUGAUUAAUAGGGAUAGUUGGGGGCAUUAGUAUUCAAUUGUCAGAGGUGAAAUUCUUGGAUUUAUUGAAGACUAACUUCUGCGAAAGCAUUUGCCAAGGAUGUUUUCAUUAAUCAAGAACGAAAGUUAGGGGAUCGAAGACGAUCAGAUACCGUCGUAGUCUUAACCAUAAACUAUGCCGACUAGGGAUCGGACGAUGUUAAUUUUUUAAUGACUCGUUCGGCGCCUUACG